ACCGAAACAACUCUCGGCAACGGAUAUCUCGGCUCUCGCAUCGAUGAAGAACGCAGCGAAAUGCGAUACUUGGUGUGAAUUGCAGAAUCCCGCGAACCAUCGAGUCUUUGAACGCAAGUUGCGCCCGAGGCCCCCCGGCCGAGGGCACGCCUGCCUGGGCGUCACGCCUCGCGUCGCUCCGC
rnacentral:rRNA from 1 species